rfam:Hoeflea sp. IMCC20628, complete genome.
GAACAACUUCGCGAACAUUCUCGUGGUAGGACCGCGCAUGGGCAGGGUGGCGUAGCCACCCGGCGAAAGCUCCCAUGCGCGAAACACAGGCUCCUCCGGGGGCCUUUUUUUAUGGCUUAAU